GACGUAGGGCGCGAGCGUUGUCCGGAUUUAUUGGGCGUAAAGGGUGCGUAGGUGGCGCUGUAAGUCGGGUGUGAAAUUUCGGAGCUUAACUCCGAAACUGCAUUCGAUACUGCUGUGCUUGAGGACUGGAGAGGAGACUGGAAUUUACGGUGUAGCAGUGAAAUGCGUAGAGAUCGUAAGGAACACCGGUGGCGAAGGCGGGUCUCUGGGCCGAUACUGACGCUGAGGAGCGAAAGCGUGGGGAGCGAACAGG
rnacentral:rRNA from 1 species